GGUUAUAGCUCAGUGGUAGAGCACAUGCUUAGCAUUCACAAGGUCCUGGGUUUAAUCCCCAGUACCUCCA
rnacentral:tRNA from 1 species